rnacentral:rRNA from 1 species
GACGAACGCUGGCGGCGUGCUUAACACAUGCAAGUCGAACGGAAAGACCCUGCUUUUGUGGGGUGCUCGAGUGGCGAACGGGUGAGUAACACGUGAGUAACCUGCCCUUGACUUUGGGAUAACUUCGGGAAACUGGGGCUAUAACCGGAAAGGAGCUCCUCCUGCAGGGUGGGGGUUGGAAAGUUUCGGCGGUUGGGGAUGGACUCGCGGCUUAUCAGCUUGUUGGUGGGGUAGUGGCUUACCAAGGCUUUGACGGGUAGCCGGCCUGAGAGGGUGACCGGCCACAUUGGGACUGAGAUACGGCCCAGACUCCUACGGGAGGCAGCAGUGGGGAAUAUUGCACAAUGGGCGGAAGCCUGAUGCAGCAACGCCGCGUGCGGGAUGACGGCCUUCGGGUUGUAAACCGCUUUCGCCUGUGACGAAGCGUGAGUGACGGUAAUGGGUAAAGAAGCACCGGCUAACUACGUG